AAGUGUGAAACCUUAUAAAAAGAAAUAAAAUUGAUGAUCUUAAAAACCCUAAUAUUUGGAUAUUGAUACUGUUUGUCUAACUAAUCUGCUCCCUAUCUCCCUCUCCUCGCCCAACUCGCUCUCUUCGUUCAGCUCGCUCUCGCCGCAAUGUUUUGGGAUGGGCGUUGUGCUCAGAUGUAUGAGAAAAUCUUAAAGAGGAAAAACCCUUGGUUACGAACAAAUAUCUAGAAAGAAGAAGGGGAACUGAACCCAGAAAAUUACACGCCCGAAAUAGCAUGAAGUUCAAGGCGAAAUGUGGUAAUGCCUUUUUGGAUAUAAAUACAAAGAGAGCUGUUCUCAUGUUCUCAAGACUUCUUCUUCUGUUGUCGCUCUUAUAUCUUAUACUGGAGAGCAAGAGUUAACUCAAGGUUCUGGCGUGAUCAUUGAAAAUGAUGAGAAUAAUGGCCAUAUUGUUUUGACAUCCGCCAAUCUCAUUCGGUGUCCUACCACAAAAGAUGUGAUGGAAGAUUAUCUGGCUGACGGUCUUAAGGGUACUCCGGCGACCUUCUCUAGGAGUUGUGGCUACAAACUUUUAUGCAGCUGAUAUAUCUCUCAAAGAGAAGAUUAUUCAAAAGUUUCUUAAUAUCUGCAACGGGCUAUUUGUUGAGAAGGUAUGCUACCUACAUAAUUCUCACGUGUCUCUUAUUCUUAUUUGACUUGCAUCUACUAGUUAUAUUUAUUUCUGAUUUCAAAUUGUUUAUAAUUAUACUUUGUCUAAAUUAUAUGCAAGUCUUUUUUAUCUUUAAUAAUUUAUAUUUUUAAUUAUUGUGUCAUUUUAACUUUUGCAUACCUUAGAUAAUAGAAAAGAUCAAAACAUUUGUCCAAAUUAGAAAGAAGAAACAAAGAUUCAGAUUCUGCAAACACACAAGGGUUUAUUGGUAUAGGCCAAGACUCCAAGCCCAAUCUACUUGUAAACCCAAAACUCUAAAAUCAUUUUCUCAAGUCCAAAACUGCGUCAUUUCUUUGUCUCUCAUUCGAAAUUGCACCCAGUCACUGCAACUCACGCACUCUCUCAACUACAAUUCAGUUUUCUCGCCACAAAUCUACAAUUUCAAUGGUAAUGUAACCAUGUACACAACCUUUUUUAUUUCUCGUAAUGCAACUAGUUAAUGAUAUGAAUUUUGAAAGAGUUAAUUAGUUAAACUCAUUUUUCUAUUUUUCUGUCAAAGUAUUAAACUAUGUUAUUCUAACGUGUUUUCAAUGCUUAACAACUUAAUGAUAGUUUAAUUUUAUUAUUGCACUGAUAUUUUAAAACAACCGUAGGCUUUGUCUGAUUAUGAAUUUCUCAAACUAAGUGAGAAAGGUGAAACCUUUGACAUGAUCGUAAGGCCGACGAAUUCAGGAAAUUGGACUAUUCGAUAUGCUACAGCUUUUACCCUGCAAUUCGACAUAUCGACUUGCGCCCAUAUUUUGCCUAAAUAAAAAAGAUAACAUCACGGUUUUUGUGUUGAACAGUGAUAUAAUUUAUAUGAAGCUGAUAUAAUUUAUAUGAAGCAAAUUUGAGACAUAACUUUGUUGUCAGAUAUGUCAAACAUCGUAUCUACACCGAGUUUGCAGAGGAUAGAUCGAUUUCUCCGUGUCAGACACUGUUAUAGGUCAUUCUAUUGGUAUGGCAUUCGUGUCAGACACUGUUAUAGGUCAUCCUGUUGGUAUGGUAUUCGUUUGACGUGUGAUGCAUACCAACGUUUAGACAACUUUGUUCUUUUUAGUCGUCCUUUUAGUUUGAACAUAAACCCGAUCAUUAUGAAUCAUAUUUGGAAGAAGACUUGUAAUAUGCAAGGCCAAAUAGUAGGUCCGAUUAUUGGAGAAUUUCACUGGGGAAAAUUGCUAUACACUUAACAUUGUUGAAAACAAUUUAUAAAAAGAAACAACCUUUAGGAGAAGGCUUUGAUUCUUUUAUACAUUCUUUCAGCCAAAUGUAUAGCAAUUUGGCUUGUCAAAUGCUCAACAAUCAACAAUCGUACCUACGAUUUGGUCUUCCAUAUUAGAAGCCUUAUUCCAAAUAUGAUCCAUAAUGCGAUGAUCUGGUGUUGUGUUCAAACUAACACACACUGUCUGACACGGAGACAUAUGUCUUGGUGUGGUGUUCAAACUAACACCUAUAACAGUGUCAGACACGGAUACCAUACCAUGUCUACAGAAUGACCUAUAACAAUGUCUAUCCUUUGCAAAUUCAAAUUCGGUGUACAACGGUGUUUGACAUAUAUGACAACACCAAUAUAGCUAUGUCCCAAAUUGACUUCAUAUAAAUUAUAUCAGCUUCGUAUAAAUUAUUUCACUGUUCAACCCAAAAACCAUGAUUUAGGCAAAAUAUGGGGCAAGUCACCAAUAAUACCUCAUUCUCCUUUAUUCCCACAACAUAUUUGUCGACUUGCGGGGAAAAGCUGUAGCAUAUCAUUAACUACUUUGACAAAAAAGUAGAAAAAUGAGUUUGACUAAUUCGCUCUUUUAAAAUUCAUAUCAUUAACUAGUUGUAUUAUCAUUGAGAGAAAUAAAAAGGCUGAGAAAAAUAAAAUUGUAGAUUUGUGGCGAGAAAAUUGGAUUGCAGGUUGACAGAGUGCGUGAGUUGCAGUGGCUGAGUGCGAUUUUCAAUUUCGAAUGAGAGACAAAGAAAUGACGCAGCUUUCAGGGAGGGGUUUGAGAAGAUGAUUUUAGGGUUUUGGGUUUAUAAGUGGAUUGGACUUGGAGUCUUGGCCUAUAGCAAUAAACACUUGUUUGUAGAAUCUUGUUUCUUCUAACCUGGACAAAUGUUUUGAUCUUCUAUAUUAUCUAUGUUAUACAAAAGUUAAAAACACACGAUAAUUAAAAAAAAAAAAAACACCAGAAUUGUAUGUAAUUUAGACGAACUAUAAUUUUAGACAAUUUGGAAUCAGAAAUAAAUAUAACUAGAUGCAAGUAAAAUAAGAAUCAGAGACAAUAUAUUAUAAGUAAAUUUUGUAGUUUAGUACAAAUUUGUAGUCUCAAAUAAAUUUUCAACUAUAUUAAUUAUUU